rnacentral:lncRNA from 1 species
CCCUGACAUCAUCGUGCUCAAGGUCUGGGAAGGCACCUGGGGGUUGUGAUCGGCAUCUUGGUGGCCGUCGUCCUCCUGCUCCUCCUCCUCCUCCUCCUGUUCCUCGUCCUCCGACACCGACGUCAGGGCAAACGCUGGACAUCGACCCAGAGAAAGGCUGAUUUCCAACAUCCUGCAGGGGCUGUGGGGCCAGAGCCCACAGACAGAGGCCUGCAGAGGAGGUCCAGCCCAGCUGCCGAUGCCCAGGAAGAAAACCUCUCAGAUGCUGCCGUGAAGGACACACAGCCUGAGGACGGAGUGGAGCUGGACACUCGGGUGAGGCCCUGC